AGAGCGAACGCUGGCGGCAGGCCUAAUACAUGCAAGUCGAACGGAUCCUUCGGGAUUAGUGGCGGACGGGUGAGUAACACGUGGGAACGUGCCCUUUGGUUCGGAACAACUCAGGGAAACUUGAGCUAAUACCGGAUGUGCCCUUCGGGGGAAAGAUUUAUCGCCAUUGGAGCGGCCCGCGUCUGAUUAGCUAGUUGGUGGGGUAAAGGCCUACCAAGGCUACGAUCAGUAGCUGGUCUGAGAGGAUGAUCAGCCACACUGGGACUGAGACACGGCCCAGACUCCUACGGGAGGCAGCAGUAGGGAAUCUUGCGCAAUGGGCGAAAGCCUGACGCAGCCAUGCCGCGUGAAUGAUGAAGGUCUUAGGAUUGUAAAAUUCUUUCAGUGGGGACGAUAAUGACGGUACCCACAGAAGAAGCCCCGGCUAACUUCGUGCCAGCAGCCGC
rnacentral:rRNA from 1 species